CCAUAUUCUAUUAGUCAGUACAGUGCAAUAGACAGAGCCCUGAUCCAAGGGAAAGGUACACAGAUGCCACCUGUCAAAGGAAGGAAUGUCAAAUUUGUGGCCAUUCUUCUUCUACCAUAAAUAUGUAUUCUGUGCUUGUGCAUUUACAAUUACACAAAUGAAUCCAUGGUUAUUUUAACACUUCAAACAUACAAAGAGUGAAAACUUUCUCUUUUCCCCUCCCCAAACUGCACUUUCUUUUCAAAUAUUUUUAGUAAGAGCUGGUCUUUAUCCAUGUGAAUCUUUUUCUACUUAUUAAGUAUAUUUCGAUUUUGCUUACUCUUACAAAGAACCAAAUUCCUAUUAUUCUGAAAAUUACUCUUUUCAUUGAGCAAUAUAUUUUAGGUAUCUUAAUUUUAAAUUACAUAUAAUUAAAAAUUAUUACCUAGUAUUCCAUAGGAAUUCCAUACUAGGUAUUCCAUUCCUAGUAUUUCAUACUAAGUAGUGUAGAUAUAUUUUGUAUAUUUAGAUGGUUUAUAGUCUUGGGUUAUUGCAUGCAAUAUUGUUCCUUUCAUUCCUCUUUAUACAUGUGUAAAAGUUUCACUAAGAUAUAUACCCAAAAUAGAAUCACUAAAUUGAUGGAUAUUAACAUUUUAAAAAGGGGCUGUUUAAACAGGCAUUGCCAUUUUAUACUUUCUUCAGCAGUACAAUAUGAGAGUGCCUCUUUUUCCUCAUCAUUGUCAGUUAUGGACAUUAUCUGUCUCUUCAAUUUUAAAAAAUGUAAUGGAUAAAAAUGUUACUUAGUGUGUGCAUUUCAAUUUUCAGUCCCUGAGUUAUUGUUAAGAGUAUGUAUUGAGUCAAUUUCAUAUUUUUUCUGAAUUGCCUAUUUUUGCAAUUCACCUAUUUUCCUAUUGGGUUGUAUGCCAUUUUUAAAAAUGAUUUAAAGAUAUUAUUUACAAAUUCUAUGUGUCCAUUAAUUCUUAGUUCAUCAUAUCUCAGACAUAAUUUCAUCAGAUGAGUAUACGGUGGCUCUGCCUUGCUCUACAUCUUUAACUCACUCUCAGGGAAGUGUUCUCAUGGUCCUCCAUUCCCAUGUGGAGGUUGGAGCCAGUCUCAGAUUGGUGAAGGUUUGGGACCUGCAGAGUGUUCACUUGGAAGGCAGGCUCUGCAUGAUGGAAAGCCAGCUUGCAUACACUCCUGGGAUGAUAAGACUGCCAUGCGCUGGGUGUACCUUAGGGGCAAAUUAGGCAACAGAAACAAAAAUCACCUCCUCAUAUCUAUGAACUUAUGUAAAUAUUGGUGUUGAUUUUUCAGUAGUGACAUGAAAGCAUAUAAAAACAAAUAUGAGUCAUCAUUUUUACCAGUAUCUGAACUCAGACUGUGAUCUGGCCAAUCUGUUUGAUGCAGCCUAUGAGAUAAGCAAGGAGGAUACCAUAUGUUCAAAGGAGGGCACGUGGAGAACAAUUUUAAAAAAGAAGCCUAAAAUACAAAGAUGAUGGAUAUCACCCUUUUUUGUUCACACCAGUUGCUGGGAGAAAGGACCUGCAAUAUCCCCACUUGAACAGCGAGCUCUUUGCGGAGGCAUUUAGAGAAAGGCUAUGAUGGGGGAGGCUGUGGAAGUGAUACCGAGUCACCCUCUGAAUGUUAUGAAUGAUAGAGAAAUUUUAUAGUGGAAAAGUGUUGGAUCCUGCACCCAAGUGCCAAGCAGAGUGUUCAAGACUUGGCUUGGUGGCCUAAGAAAGAGACCAAGCCUGGGUUUUCUCAAGUAUAAUAAUCUUAUGGACAUGUCCAGAGGCCUGGGAGGCUGAGCUGGGCUCCCAGUGAAGCCACUGCCGCCUCCACCCUCUGCCAUCAGUCUGCGGCAGAUUGGUUGUGUUAGAGGAGUAGCUUCUAGUCAGAACCCUCCUUCUUCUAGUUGUACCCCUGCAUAGAGCUAUCAGAGAAAAUAUAGGACUACAGGUAAAUAAUGAAAAACUUUUAGUAUAUGUGUAUCUCUUAUAAUAUUUGGAUAUACUUAUAUAGAAAAAAUUAGUCAUUGCUUAUCUGAAUUUCAAAUUUAAUUGGGUAUUUUAUAUUUUCAUUUGCUAAAUUUGGCAACCCUAUACCAGGCUUUCAAUUUUAUAUUGUAUCCUCUCUUGACCUCUACCUUGCAGCUGCUUUUAGAACUGGUAAAGAAUGGACAUUAUUUGCCAGCAUUUAUCAUUCAGGAUUCUUCAAUAGAAGUCUGUGGAACUUACCAAGUCCAUGUAGCUCAUUGGCUGUUUUCUCCCAUGGGGUGGGAAACCAUGAGAACACAUCCUUGUCAGUGAGUCCUGUGGAGUAAAUAAAGGUCGGCAAAUAAGUCUUGAGAGACUGUCUGGUGAGGGCAGGCCAGAUCAUCACUGCUUCAGAACUGAGGACUCUGCGGUAAAACACAUCAAGUCACUGAAAUGUAAAGCCUUACAAACUGAAGAGUCAUGUAAUGCAAAUAUAUUUUCGCCAAAUUACAGAGCUGUCAUUCCUAUGCACCAUCAGGAGCUAGAGGCUGGGUGUCCGCAAGGGCUGGACACCCAUGUUCACAAUCAAGGGUAGGAUCUUUGAAGAGUAUGACAGGCCCCCUGUACCAAAACUGCUCGUAACCUUAUGAUGUGAGAAAAACAUCAUAAGGUUACUGAGUGUGGAAAUACAUGAUUUAUAAUUUUUUUAUACAGUAAGAAAUGGCUCAUCUCCAGCCACAAAAAACCUUAUGAGCUAUUAGUUCAGACUUCCUCUUAACUGGCACGUCCCUCAUUCUGUGCAAGCUAAGACUGCAGAACUUUAAGGGUUUAAAUUAGAUUUCCCAGACAAAGAGCCAGAGGUGGGGAGUCUUACUCAGUUGGUUUACUGGGAGAGUGUUCUCUGUCAAGAGGAAGCAGGGAAGGGAAAAAAAAUGUGAAUAGAGAAUGUGAAACUAGCUUUAUGUGAUCCCAAUGGGGACUCUGUAGCUAACUUAUUCCAGAGUUGACCCAGCUUUGGGGCGGGUGAGGUGAGGGGCUGAGGAUAAGGGCAGCCAUUUUAUCUUAUUAUCAGUUGAAUUGCUGGGAAGGGGAGAUAAAGGGUUAUUUAACAUUUUGGAGCCCAGGUCAGUUCUUUGGAGAAAGAGGCAGCCAUGGGCCCUGAGUAAACAAUAUCCACAGCUGGAUACGGGUACAUUAGCCAGGUUAAGGGAACCUACAAGGGGACUAACGGCACCUAUACACCCUAUUAUUAGUUAUUUCCUUGGUUUUAUGUGUACCUUUUGCUAUGGGUUUUGCUGGUUCAGUUUUAAGCCAGUUCUGCUCAUUAUCUCCAAAGCUGAAACUAAUUUACCCUUGUCUUCUGGCCCAGCUUUACCCUAAUUCACUCAAAUAUGUUAUGUUUCCUGCAAAAAGGAAAUUUUAUACAUUGGUUGGAUGCAUGUGCCUUUAAGUAAAUGGAAAAUUCCAUCUACCAAUUACAUUAGGGACCAUCUUUGAAAAUUAUGUACAUUUAUAACUCUUCUCUCCCAAUUCUUUCAUAUAUUUUUCUUUCCUGGUAUAGUUAAGAUCUGCUCUUACCUGAGUCUUUAAUCAUUCUUGUACUUUUUUCCCCUUAUAAGAAGAGAAUUAUGCUUAUUAAUAAUUCCACUCAAAAUCACUAUAUGGUUUAGGCUUGCUAAUAGAUGAUGAUGAAUUUUUCACAAGAAUCACAAUAAUUGAUAGUGUUUGCUUCCUUGUUGACAUAUUUAUGAUAUGAAGAUAAGAAUUAAAUCACAGAGCACAGCAGGGGACGAAUCCUCAAAAUUAACAGUAAACAGAAAUAUCUGAGCUAAGUUUAAGUAUUUGUAUAAAGAAUUAGUUUUGAUAAAACUGUUUCAGUAAACUGGACUAAAUAAUAAAAUGUCUAAAACUGUAUAUCUGAGCUAAAAUGUUUCAGUUUAAUCAGUGGUUUUGAAAGUGCUGUCAAGUAAAUGAAUGUCUCAAAAAUAGGGAGUUCCCAUUGUGGCUCAGCGGUAAUGAAUCCAACUAGUAUCCAUGAGGACAUGGGUUCGAUCCCUGGCUUUGCUCAGUGGGUUAAGGAUCCAGCAUUAGCAUGAACUGUGGUGUAGAUCCCAGGCACAGCUUGGAUCUGGCAUUGCUGUGGUUAUGGUGUUGGCCAGCAUCUCAACUCCGAUUUGACCUCUAGCCUUGGAACUUCCAUAUACUGUGGGUGCAAUCCUGAAAAAAAGCUUAAAAAAAAAGAAAAAAAAAAAGCCCAGCUUACCAUUUAGGUAUAGGAAAUACACCUAUAUUCAAAUACAGAAGUCUAAUAAUGUAAGCAUCUGAAGUUGGUGCCCACAGAGUUUUGGUUGAUAUUGUAUAAUGCAAUUGGACGCUUACCUUGUAACAAUCAUACCACAUCAGUAAGGAUGAUAGAAUGUGUUACUAAAAUACUCUUCUAUGUGAACUGUUUUUGUUUUUCAAAGAGUCUGCAUGGACUUCCUCAUCUUCAAAAUGGAAUCAAUCCACAUCUUGUUUUCUGACUAUUUGGUGCCCUUCUCAUGGAGACUGAAUGAAGAAUGCUUUGCAAAUAUCAUUGUGAACUGUAAGUAGUUUCAUGACUAUGAUGUGAUCAUUGAGGUCUCUGUGGCAGGUGAGGGAAUGCAUGCUGAUAUAAUACUUUUGACUGGUUUCUUCCUCAGUUGAAUGACUCUACACAGGAUUUUAACCUCAGUUAAACCACGGGUUCCACACUGGUGUGUUCAUUUUCUGGUCUUUGUAUACAUAAAACGAAGGCUUUACCUUAAUCUAU
rnacentral:lncRNA from 1 species